rnacentral:lncRNA from 1 species
GUCGCAUCCACGAAAGAGGGCACUUGCAUCCAGAGUUUCCUUCUUUCUGAAUUCUGUGUUUCCGUUUUCCUGCUAUUGUCACAGUCCCUCCUGCUUGCCUUAUUUUGGAAACGGCAGUGAACUUAUUAGUCAAUUACCUGCAGAUCUGACAGUAAUUUACUUGUUCAGUUGAUUUGUGCUGAUCAGUGUUACUUCCACCUUUAUUACCAUUUAUAUCACGUUGUGCUGUCUGGUGUAAACAUCUUUUUUAGUUACACACAGCCAGAGACCAGAUCUGUUUCCUUUCUUUUGUAACCCCCACACUUCAUAGGAUGCCUGGCACACGGAAGGGACUUAAUAAGCAGUUUUACGCAAGUGAGUGAUUAGUGCUCAUUCAACAAUUAUUUAUUGGGCACCCAGCGUGUGCGAGGAGAUAGUGGGAAAAUACUGGCAAGCGAAACAGCCCCGGCGCCUGCUGACCUGGCCCCAGCAGCUCAGCAAGGGAGACACAGUUAUGUGGGGAUGGAGAAGAGACCCAAGGCCUGCCGAGAGACUCUGAGAUACGAGGCCCCCGCUCUGGCAGAGACCAGCUGCCCUGUACCGGGGAGCCCUGUCCACGUGCCCAGAGCUGGCCACCCCACGGUGGAUGCAGAAGGCACAUCUGUGCUGCUCUCAAGCUGCCCCAGUCUAGUGUAGCAGGAGGGCCGGGAGCAGAGCAAUCCAAGCUCUGGGCCAGUAACAUUUUUGGCUUUUGGAAAAACCACAUCUCAUUGUGGCUUCUGUGUGCAGAACAAUGGGAAGCUAGAGCUAAGCUUGGUACCCACGGCUGUGACGUCACUGUUCCAGGGAGCACUGGGUCCUCCAGUGUGGUGGGCGGCAGAGGUCAGUGCUGAGGUGGCCAGCUCUGGGCCUCUUGGCCAGCAGGGUGUACAGGUUCCACAGAGCCAGGUGCCAGCUGCCCCUCCCCACCUGCCGAGCCACAGUCCAGGAGCCGGGCCCUACUGUCUCCCACAGCCUCCGGACUCUGCUCCCAGAAAGCAUCUCAGCUGCCAGUGGUUUUGCUGGCUUGGUGGUGGUGGACUCAACUCCGGGUAUCACAGACGGAACAAGCUGGGAGAUACAAAGUUUCAUGUUUCAUCUCUUUAUUGUUGCCGGUAACACUAUGUGCUCCCAAGUACUCCGGUCAUCUUCUAAUUCUCCAGCACCCACUUAGACUAUGAGUCAAUUUGAGCGGCCGUGGAGUGCCUAGGUAUUUAUCCAAACAACUCUGGAUGGAAAAGCCAGAGGCCCAGCAGAGACCCAGGUCUCAGGGUGACUUGGCUCAAACCAGCCCCUGCUGAAAACAACUUAACACUGACUCAGGAGAGGAAUAAAGCAA